UGGGGAAUAUUGGACAAUGGGCGGAAGCCUGAUCCAGCAACGCCGCGUGAGGGAUGACGGCCUUCGGGUUGUAAACCUCUUUCAGCACCGACGAAGGGGCUCUUUUUGGGUUUUGACGGUAGGUGCAGAAGAAGGACCGGCCAACUACGUGCCAGCAGCCGCGGUAAUACGUAGGGUCCGAGCGUUGUCCGGAAUUAUUGGGCGUAAAGGGCUCGUAGGCGGUUUGUCGCGUCGGGAGUGAAAACACGGGGCUUAACUCUGUGCUUGCUUCCGAUACGGGCAGACUAGAGGCAUUCAGGGGAGAACGGAAUUCCUGGUGUAGCGGUGAAAUGCGCAGAUAUCAGGAGGAACACCGGUGGCGAAGGCGGUUCUCUGGGAAUGUUCUGACGCUGAGGAGCGAAAGUGUGGGGAGCGAACAGG
rnacentral:rRNA from 1 species